GACGAACGCUGGCGGCGUGCUUAACACAUGCAAGUCGAACGGAAAGGCCCUGCUUUUGUGGGGUGCUCGAGUGGCGAACGGGUGAGUAACACGUGAGUAACCUGCCCUUGACUUUGGGAUAACUUCAGGAAACUGGGGCUAAUACCGGAUAGGAGCUCCUGCUGCAUGGUGGAGGUUGGAAAGUUUCGGCGGUUGGGGAUGGACUCGCGGCUUAUCAGCUUGUUGGUGGGGUAGUGGCUUACCAAGGCUUUGACGGGUAGCCGGCCUGAGAGGGUGACCGGCCACAUGGGGACUGGGGUACGGCCCAGACGCCUACGGGAGGCAGCAGUGGGGAAUAUUGCACAAAGGGCGGAAGCCUGAGGCAGCAACGCCGCGUGCGGGAUGACGGCCUUCGGGUUGGAAACCGCUUUCGCCUGUGACGAAGCGUGAGGGACGGUAAUGGGUAAAGAAGCACCGGCUAACUACGU
rnacentral:rRNA from 1 species